GCUGCACAUUGUUAAAGCCUGGCAUUGAGGCUGCCGACUGACCCAGGAACUCACAAGCGUAGGUGAAGUGCUCAUGAGGGACAAGUCUUGCACUAAAACCACAAGGGUCUCUAGCCCAAUGAGUGGAGUUUGAUAACAAUUCUUGCUACAAGU
rfam:Canis lupus familiaris chromosome 4, whole genome shotgun sequence.